AUGGUGACGUCACAGGUCGGUACUUUUUGGUAAACAGAGUUCGUCUUUCCGUAAGCACGUGCGGCUCUUACCCAUACCUGGGCCAGAUUCUGGUCAUGUCUCUCCAGUGGGCUCUCUGACAUGAAGGAAAUGCUGUCAUUCAGGGAAGUGGCCAUUGAUUUCUCUGUAGAGCAGUGGGAAUGCCUGGAGCCUGCUCAGUGGAAUCUGUACAGGGAAUUGAUGCUGGAGAAUUACAGCAACCUUGUAUUCCUGGAUCCUUGUUUCUUCCUAUCUUUACUACAAUUCUGUAAAGAAUAAAAGAACAUCGGGAUUUCUAAAACUGCCUACUUUUUCCUAAAGGAUUGAACCAAGGCUUGCCAUUAAGCUCUAGCUUUCGGAGAGAGGCUACAGUGAGAAAUAUAACAAAAGGUAUUAAGCAGAUUUCCACCAAUGGCAGUGAAGUGUCUUCCAGUUGUUGACCAAGCACUGAAACUUUGUCAAGCAGCUCCUUCAGGACAAUUGGCAUCUCCAUGACACUUUCUAUGUAUGAUAUCAUGGAUGUAAAGUAAUAAACAUUCUUACCCAGCU
rnacentral:lncRNA from 1 species